AGGGCGUUAGAGGAUUUGAGUAGAAGAUGGCGAGCGGUGUCCACAGAUUGUACAGCGACCAAGCGGCGGUGAAGAAUCAAUGUGUGGAUCUAUCAUUACCAUACGGAAUAGGCCUCUUCUUCUGGUUAUUACAAGUUAGGUAGUAUUUUGGCAGUGAUCGCAAACUUCUACACGACUCAUCACCAUCAUGUCCAUGCCCCAGACUUGGGUGAGUGCUCAAGGAAGAAUUUUGUAGUUCCACUGUUGAUUCCAAGCAGGCAAUUCAUGAUCAGCCUUGUGCAAGCCAUGUAUGGGGCUGAUCCUGAUGGCGUCGUCCACAUCUUUCGCGCCUGGUCCAGCUGCGCCAUAUCAA